CCUACGGGAGGCAGCAGUGAGGAAUAUUGGUCAAUGGGGGCAACCCUGAACCAGCCAUGCCGCGUGCAGGAUGACGGCCCUCUGGGUUGUAAACUGCUUUUAUGUGGGACUAAUAAAAAGCUAUACGCUUUGAUGCAUGUACCACAUGAAUAAGCACCGGCUAACUACGUGCCAGCAGCCGCGGUAAUACGUAGGGUGCAAGCGUUGUCCGGAUUUAUUGGGUUUAAAGGGUGCGUAGGCGGCCUGAUCAGUCAGUGGUUAAAGACUGCGGCUCAACCGUAGCACGCCAUUGAUACUGUCAGGCUUGAGUGCAACAGAGGAAACUGGAAUGUGUGGUGUAGCGGUGAAAUGCAUAGAUAUCACACAGAACACCGAUUGCGAAGGCAGGUUCCUAUGUUGUUACUGACGCUGAGGCACGAAAGCGUGGGGAGCGAACAGGAUUAGAUACCCUGGUAGUCCACGCUGUAAACGAUGAUCACUAGAUGUUCGGCCUUCGGGUUGAGUGUCCCAGCGAAAGCGAUAAGUGAUCCACCUGGGGAGUACGUCGGCAACGAUGAAACUCAAAGGAAUUGACGG
rnacentral:rRNA from 1 species